UACGUAGGUGGCAAGCGUUGUCCGGAUUUACUGGGCGUAAAGAGCGCGCAGGCGGUCGUUCAAGUCGCGUGUGAAAGCCCCCGGCUCAACUGGGGAGGGUCACGCGAUACUGAUCGACUCGAAGGCAGGAGAGGGAAGUGGAAUUCCCGGUGUAGUGGUGAAAUGCGUAGAUAUCGGGAGGAACACCAGUGGCGAAGGCGGGUCUCUGGGCCGUAACUGACGCUGAGGAGCGAAAGCAUGGGGAGCGAACAGG
rnacentral:rRNA from 1 species